GUGAAUGGGCAGAGAUUUUAUUCAACCUGCAAACUAGUCAUCAACACACAAGGCUUUAUCUGGGUUCUCCCUCUCUGCAAGAGAUGGACAAUCAGGAUAUAUUAUAGCUGUUCUUCAAAAGCUUGUUAGGUGAGACCAGAGCAACAUUCCAUCUCGGGCUAAUUAUCCCCCAAUAGUGAGGUAAGUCCCUUCUGUAC
rnacentral:lncRNA from 1 species